rnacentral:rRNA from 1 species
CCUACGGGAGGCAGCAGUGAGGAAUAUUGGUCAAUGGGAGAGAUCCUGAACCAGCCAAGCCGCGUGAGGGAAGACGACCCUAUGGGUUGUAAACCUCUUUUGUCUGAGAACAAAACCCGGGACGUGUCCCGGACUGCGUGUAUCCGAAGAAAAAGCAUCGGCUAACUCCGUGCCAGCCGCCGCGGUAAUACGGGGGAUGCGAGCGUUAUCCGGAUUUAUUGGGUUUAAAGGGUGCGUAGGCGGUCCGUUAAGUCAGCGGUAAAAUUGCGGGGCGAACCCCCGUCGGGCCGUUGAAACUGGCAGACUUGAGUUGGCGAGAAGUACGCGGAAUGCGCGGUGUAGCGGUGAAAUGCAUAGAUAUCGCGCAGAACUCCGAUUGCGAAGGCAGCGUACCGGCGCCCAACUGACGCUGAAGCGCGAAGGCGUGGGUAUCGAACAGGAUUAGAUACCCGUGUAGUC